GACGAACGCUGGCGGCGUGCCUAAUACAUGCAAGUAGGACGCACAGUUUAUACCGUAGCUUGCUACACCAUAGACUGUGAGUUGCGAACGGGUGAGUAACGCGUAGGUAACCUACCUAUUAGAGGGGGAUAACUAUUGGAAACGAUAGCUAAUACCGCAUAACAGUAUGUAACACAUGUUAGAUGCUUGAAAGAUGCAAUUGCAUCGCUAGUAGAUGGACCUGCGUUGUAUUAGCUAGUAGGUAGGGUAAAGGCCUACCUAGGCAACGAUACAUAGCCGACCUGAGAGGGUGAUCGGCCACACUGGGACUGAGACACGGCCCAGACUCCUACGGGAGGCAGCAGUAGGGAAUCUUCGGCAAUGGGGGGAACCCUGACCGAGCAACGCCGCGUGAGUGAAGAAGGUUUUCGGAUCGUAAAGCUCUGUUGUUAAGGAAGAACGAGUGUGAGAAUGGAAAGUUCAUGCUGUGACGGUACUUAACCAGAAAGGGACGGCUAACUACGUGCCAGCAGCCGCGGUAAUACGUAGGUCCCGAGCGUUGUCCGGAUUUAUUGGGCGUAAAGCGAGCGCAGGCGGUUAGAAAAGUCUGAAGUGAAAGGCAGUGGCUCAACCAUUGUAGGCUUUGGAAACUGUUUAACUUGAGUGCAGAAGGGGAGAGUGGAAUUCCAUGUGUAGCGGUGAAAUGCGUAGAUAUAUGGAGGAACACCGGUGGCGAAAGCGGCUCUCUGGUCUGUAACUGACGCUGAGGCUCGAAAGCGUGGGGAGCGAACAGG
rnacentral:rRNA from 1 species